rnacentral:rRNA from 1 species
GACGAACGCUGGCGGCGUGCUUAACACAUGCAAGUCGAACGGAAAGGCCCUGCUUUUGUGGGGUGCUCGAGUGGCGAACGGGUGAGUAACACGUGAGUAACCUGCCCUUGACUUUGGGAUAACUUCAGGAAACUGGGGCUAAUACCGGAUAGGUGCUCCUGCUGCAUGGUGGGGGUUGGAAAGUUUCGGCGGUUGGGGUUGGACUCGCGGCUUAUCAGCUUGUUGGUGGGGUAGUGGCUUACCAAGGCUUUGACGGGUAGCCGGCCUGAGAGGGUGACCGGCCACAUUGGGACUGAGAUACGGCCCGGACUCCUACGGGAGGCAGCAGUGGGGAAUAUUGCACGAUGGGCGGAAGCCUGAUGCAGCAACGCCGCGUGCGGGAUGACGGCCUUCGGGUUGUAAACCGCUUUCGCCUGUGACGAAGCGUGAGUGACGGUAAUGGGUAAAGAAGCACCGGCUAACUACGUG